AUCAUUACCGAGUGAGGGCCCUCUGGGUCCAACCUCCCACCCGUGUUUAUUUUACCUUGUUGCUUCGGCGGGCCCGCCUUAACUGGCCGCCGGGGGGCUUACGCCCCCGGGCCCGCGCCCGCCGAAGACACCCUCGAACUCUGUCUGAAGGUUGUAGUCUGAGUGAAAAUAUAAAUUAUUUAAAACUUUCAACAACGGAUCUCUUGGUUCCGGCAUCGAUGAAGAACGCAGCGAAAUGCGAUACGUAAUGUGAAUUGCAAAUUCAGUGAAUCAUCGAGUCUUUGAACGCACAUUGCGCCCCCUGGUAUUCCGGGGGGCAUGCCUGUCCGAGCGUCAUUGCUGCCCUCAAGCACGGCUUGUGUGUUGGGCCCCGUCCUCCGAUCCCGGGGGACGGGCCCGAAAGGCAGCGGCGGCACCGCGUCCGGUCCUCGAGCGUAUGGGGCUUUGUCACCCGCUCUGUAGGCCCGGCCGGCGCUUGCCGAUCAACCCAAAUUUUUAUCCAGGUUGACCUCGGAUCAGGUAGGGAUACCCGCUGAACUUAAGCAUAUCAAUAAGCGGAGGA
rnacentral:rRNA from 1 species